rnacentral:lncRNA from 1 species
GGCGUGCGGGCGGGGAGGAGGGUGGGGGCCGCUCUGGCUACAGUUUAUCUUGGCACUAACAACGGGGACUGAUUGGGCUUCGUUGUGAAAAGGGGGGCCCUGUGGUGCGUUUACAGAGUCUGAGAACACAGAGUUCGUGGCCACUCCCUCACCCAGCCCUGGGCACCAGGUUAUGUUUUAAAUUUGAGCACCUCAGCCAUGGGGAACCCCUUUUGUUUGUCAGCCAGGGCAUAGUUUACCAAUCCCAAAUCUGUAAUCUCUCUCUUAACAAAUCACUUUCUACCCAAAUACAGAUCCUUAAGGGCAGGGCCUCUGGUUCAUUUUUGUCAUCUCCACCUAGCGGAGAGCGCGGCACACGGCAAUGAUACGGGAGUGCGGGGGAAGGGAAGAGUGUGGUCCCUUUAAAUGAUACAGAAGGGAGGUGCUGGGUAGAGGGGGGCGUGGUCCCCGGCUAGGGCUCCACCCCCCCGGACCUGGGUGAGGACAGGCACUUCUGCCUUCUUGCCCCAAUGUUGCAUUUUCCAAGACCACCCUGGCCCGCCAUGCCCCCAUUCUGAGCCUAUAAAAACCCGAGACCCUAGCAGGGCAGAGGCAGAAACUGCUGGAUGCUGAGAGGAACGCAUCAGUGGAAGAAAACAAGCGGCUGGACGUGGAGAGGACGUCAAGGGAGCAUGCCGGCGGAAGAGCACACCACAGACGCCGGCAGGCCACCGAGCGGCAGGACCAGGCGGAGUUUGGCCGGGGCAGUCGGAGGAGAGCUAGGCCACUAAGCAGCUCAACUCCAGGAGAUAAACCAUCUCCCUUGUGGCUCCUCCGUCGGCUGAGAGCUGCUUCCACUCAAUAACACUUUGCACUCGUUCUCCAAGCCCCCGUGUGAUCCGAUUCUUCUGGUACACCCAGGCAAGAACCCAGGAUACAGAAAGGCCUCGGUCCUUUCCACAAGUACCUCUACUUGAGGUACUCAUUGACCUGGUUAACACAAGCUGCCUACAGACGCCAAAACUAAGGGCACCCUGGAACACAGGCUUCAGCUGUAAACAUUCACCCCUGGGCACUGCCGUGGGGUGGGAGCCUGCCUGAGUGUAUGCUCCCCUAGAGGUUUGAGCUGCGGGGCACUGAAGAAGUGAGCCACACUCCCAUCGCACACUGCGAGGGGGACAAAGGAACUUUUCCUCUUUUAACUGGGGCCUCAUCUGGAAUCUCGGAAGGUGAAUGUCUGCCUUCGAAAACCCUACCACCUGUCUUUCUUGUGGGAUGUCCACACGCCGCAUCCCUGA